AAGAAAACAAUUAAAAGAAAAAGGCGUUCCAAUCACAGGCCUUCACACAGGCCGGUCGAUCUCAUGAAGCGCAGUAGCUCUUGCACGGC
rnacentral:lncRNA from 1 species